rnacentral:lncRNA from 1 species
AUUAGCUGUAGCUGGAUAUACUGAAGGAAUGAAAGUUUUCUGAGCUGACUGCACUGAUAAACCUAGAAGGAGACCAUGGUGAUAAUUGCUUUAUAAUUUUCAAAAGUCAGCAUUAACUGCUGAGUAGCAGAGUGGAUUACAUUUGCGUUUUCAGUGGAAAUGAUCACUGUGAUGUCCUUACUGCCUCCUAACUCAUGAAAGGAACAACUGGCUGGUCCCUGGAACUCCCUGUGUGACUGGUGAUUGCCCACGGACUUCUAAAACAGUCUUUACUCUGAAGAUGUGAAUGUUGCCCAUGGCCUUCAGCUGAUGGAUGAUAUCUGGGCCUGAGAUGGCAAUAUCAGCCCUAGAAUUCUGGAGGAUAAUUCUGAAACAAGCCCUACCCAGUCAAUUUUCCUGAAGUUUCAUGAGGAUUCUGAAGAGCGGUGACAGGUGUUGGACUAAAACCA